rnacentral:rRNA from 1 species
GUUGAACGCUGGCGGCAGGCCUAACACAUGCAAGUCGAACGCGUGGCGCACGGGUGAGUAAUGUCUGGAAACCAGCCCGAUGGAGGGGGAUCACUACUGGAAACGGUAGCUAAUACCGCCUACCCGCGAAUGUUCGCAGAUGGGAGUAGCUAGUAGGUGGGGUAACGGCUCACCGAUGCAACGAUCCCUAGCUGGUCGGAGAGGAUGACCAGCCACACUGGAACGGAGACACGGUCCAGACUCCUACGGGAGGCAGCGGUGGGGAAUAUUGCACAAUGGGAUCAAGCCUGAUGUAGCAAUGCCGCGUGUAUGAAGAAGGCCUUCGGGUUGGAAAGGUAUUGCAGCGAGGAGGCGUUACUCGAAGAAGAAGCACCGGCUAACUCCGUGCCAGCAGCCGCGGUAAUAC